CAUCCAUUUUCAAGUCUUAUAUUUCAAAUAUGAAGGAUAACAAUCAUAGCAAUUCAUUCUAUGACAAGAUAUCAAUUUGUAAUAUUUCAAAUUAAGCUCUAGAUAUCUUAUCAUAAUGCAAACAUUUCAAGUGUAAAAUUGCAUACAUUUAUCAUCAAUUUAUCAUAUUUUUCUCCCCCUUUGUCAUCAACAAAAAGGAGAACGAUUCAACAAUAUAUGCAAGUGUGGUAAAAAUUCAUGUCACA
rnacentral:lncRNA from 1 species